UUGCCCUGGGCGCAGCCUGAUGCAGCCAUGCCGCGUGUAUGAAGAAGGCCUUCGGGUUGUAAAGUACUUUCAGCGAGGAGGAAGGCGGUGAGGUUAAUAACCUCAUCGAUUGACGUUACUCGCAGAAAAAGCACCGGCUAACUCCGUGCCAGCAGCCGCGGUAAUA
rnacentral:rRNA from 1 species